GUUGGAUGUUUGGGUCUUGCCUCCUGUAAAUUCCACCUUUUGGGUGUGAAAUCUAAACCUCCACAGGUUUCACAUUCACUGCUAUGGAUGUGAAUUACCCAGUAGCAGCCCUGGAGUGAAGUUGCUCCUGUAUGGCUGCUAUAGGUUAUCUCCUCAAUAGCUCUUAUGGGGUGCUAGCAACAAAGGGAGCUUUCCCUUCUUGCUAUCUGGAGCCUAGAUACCCUGGGCACAAUUUUCUUUAUACUUAUUUCAGUUGUACUCUGGGGCCCACAAUAGGUGACUGCUGGGUCAGACGGCAACUUCCUUUAUAAGUUCCCUAUCUCCUGCCUCUGCUUGUGGCUGUGCAGUGCUUAAAAAUCAUUCCUGCACCAGUGAUCCCAUUUCCCUUCAAACUGUCUGGCCUAUGGGCUGAGUGAUUUUGGUUGCUUUUUGCUCAACAGCUUUUCCCAUUGACUCUGGGUCCAUUAAGAUUAGCCUCCAUCUCUACUCCACAAGCCAAUUUUUUUUUUCCCCUGUACUGUUCUCUUCUCCCCAGAAGGCCAUAGCUACUUUAUUAUUUUUUUAUAUUAUAUUCAGAGCUUAUGAUUUUCUGUGCCUAUGGUUUCUUUUGCUGUCCAGUGUUGAAUUUCAGUAGUUACCACAGUUACCUACCUGAGGAGCAGUCUUCCCAUUUUCUUUUAAUAUUUGUUUUUUAGGUGUAGAUGGACACAACACAAUGCCUUUAUUUUUAUAUGGUGCCGAGGAUCCAACCUGGGUCCCACCUGUGCUAGGUGAGCGCUCUACGGCUGAGCCACAAUCCCAGCCCUUUCCACUUUUUAAUCUGGUGCUAAGGAGCUGCUGGGAAGUACACUCUUCCUCUAAUUUGCUAUCUUCUCUGUUCUGUGAAUGUUAAAUUUUGUCAAAUGAUCUUUCUGCAUCUAUUGAGAUGAUCGUAUGGUUUUUCCUUUCAGGUGUUACUAUGGUGAGUUAUAUUGAUUUUCUGUUUUUGUCCAAAUCUUACAUAAACUCAUUUGGUUAUAAUGUAUUUUUGGAUUUGAUUUGAUAAUUUAAAAUUUUCAUGUCUGAGAAACAUUUUAGUGAAAAAAAUUUUAAUGCUGGGGAUUGAAACCAGGGGCUUCUCAGAUUCAAGAGCUGUAUCACUGAGUUACCUCACCAAACAUUUUGUAAAAAUUUUGAGACAGAAUAUGGCUAAGUUGCCCAGGCUUGCCUAGACAAUGUGAUCCUCCUGCCUCUAGGGUUACAGGUGUGCACCAAAGUGCUUUGCUCAGUGAAUUUUUUACUUCAGGCAUUUUUUCAUUGCAAAAGUUUAAAAGUUUGCGACUUAAGAGUGUUUAUGACUACUUCAUGAAGC
rnacentral:lncRNA from 1 species